UAACAAUGGAAAUACAUGUGCUCAACGAUUGAAGACAGGCAAGAUUCUAACCAAUUAGAGGGCAGGUACGCGUGUAAAUAACACGCACAACUAAACGUCGUUUUUCUCAAAGUUGCCGGAGUACAACGUGCAUCAACAUAUAAUAUAUGUGUCGGUGUUUGUAAAAGCUUUUGUAAAAGCUUAACCAUUACGAAAUUUCAAUUCGAUCAAGAUCCUUAAGUAAUUUGACACUCUGUUAUAUACCUCCACACAUAAAUGGCCUUAUCUCACGCGGACAGAUUUUGGGCAGAGUAAAUGCUCUCGCCUUGACCUCUUCAUCUCGGUCUGUUAUUUUUUUUAAACAUGUUGUUACGGUCACGACCGGGUCAAUCAUGUGACCAGCUGCAAAAAGUUAUAAACAGCCGCAGUCCGGAACCUCCUGAGACGGGCCGCAGUCCGGAACCUCCAGCGACGGCCGCUUUCCGGACCCUCCAGCGACAGCCCGCAGUCCAGAGUCUUCAGCGGCGGCCCGCAGUCCAGAACCUCCAGCGGCGGUACAUCAUGGGCGAGAAACAUAUUGUUUUUCUUAAAAUCAAUUAUAGUAGUAGCAAGCUAUCAAAGUUGACCUCCGGUCCUCAAAUGCUCUCCUUCUCAACUGAACAGAAUAUAGGCUAUAGGCUAGUCUACGUGCAAGAUACUGCAUUUUUUGGACUCGCCUAAUAAAAAUAAUUUUCUGAAGAAUUCUUUGACUCUCCUCCUGAACUGCGACUGUAGUCCUACACAGCACAGGAUUGGUUAGGCAGCACAAAAAAAGGUUUUGAUCAGCAAGGGCAGAACAGGCCUUAGGGUUGGAAUAUCCAUUACAGUGUGUAAUGCAGUCUAGUUUUAUUUACGCGAUCCCAGCAGCUAUCUUAGAAAUAUAACUUUACUCUGUGCUUCUCUGAGCAUGCACAAUCAAACUGAAGUGAGCUUGUUUAUCUAUAAUUGCAGGAUUAAAUUGGAGUUGAUGCUUUAAGUCAA